AAUAUUCAUCCAACAAGCUAUAUACACAACAAUAUUUGCAUAAAUUGGUGAACAACUAGCAAAUUAUUUUCCUUAAAAAAACAUACUAGCAAAUUACAUGGGAGAGUUAAUUAAUUGUUGCAGUUCGGGUUGGUUUCGUUAUGUUGAUGAAAUGAAAUCCGCAAACUCGAAUCAAAUUGCACAGUUCAGUAAAAAAAUGGUCCAAACUUAUUUGAACCAAAUGCUAUUUUCAGUUUGGAUUGGUUCUAUUUGUGGUUUUUUCUAUUGGUUUAGUUCGAUUUUGAACACUAUUAAUCUUAACACAUAACCUUAAGGCAUUAUGAAUUUAUGGGUAGUACAUUUGUCCUUGGUGAAUUAAUAGAAGACACGUUGAAGAAACGAUCAAACCUUUUAUGGAGUGUAAAUUGGAGGCAACAAAUCAUUCUAAAGUAAGCAAAGCAAUUAUGAAGUAUUGUUCAACAUAAUUAUCCUUAAUAGGCAAAGAUUUUAAAUAUGAAGAAAACUUAUCAACGAAACUUGAUGUGCUGAUACUCUUUUCAAAGAACGAUAUUAUCCAAAUCUCCUAUAACAGGAC
rnacentral:lncRNA from 1 species